rnacentral:lncRNA from 1 species
AGCUUCAUCAGAGCAGUCGAGUGCGAGCCGCGCACGACCUACGGACACCUGCUCACCUCCAUGAGGACCAUCAUGCGCAACGGCGGCGGCAACUGCAACCUGCAGGGCCCCGCCGGCGGCUGCAUCCGCAAGGUGGCCAACUUCAGCGGGGUGGAGGUGAGUCCAGCACAUUUUCUGUCCAGCCAAUGAAAUGUGGAGCUUGAUACAUUAUAUAUGCUCACAUACCGCAUUUGGUAAACUCUGCAGGAGCCCCAGCUGUCUUCUGCUUGCAAGUUUGACAUCCACCGCGAGCCGUUCUGCAUGUAGAACCCGCGCCCGGGUUCGUCGUCGUUCUGCACUCGACGAUUACCACCUACACGGCUAAUCAUCGACCGUAUCGAGAUAGCCGAUCAGUGGGAUAAAUAACUAUGACGCUUUCUGCUAGUAUGUGUGAUAGCCGAUCACCUCACCUGCCGCAAUGCCAUCCAGAAUGAGCAUAGCUCACACAAGGCUCUGGAGGACCUCCUUCCCUACUGUAUUGUACGUCUGUAUGUACGUACCUCAUUGUAAUAAGGUUGUGGUGGUGUUGUGUGUCGUCUCAUACGUACCCUUAUAAAUAAAUCAAGUUCUAUGCUGCUUCAUCUCCAAAAGAGACACGUAAAAGCAAUGCAAAUUGUGGCAAUUAUGUUAUCAAAUGGCGUCAACAAACCAAAGUGCGUGCGUGCGUGCGUGUUUUAUGAAACUGAAACCUAGGGAUCUAAGGCCCAACAGUCAUCUGUUGUUCAGAUCCCAAAUAGUUUCCUUUCACAUGAGCCAACCAAUAACAUGAACAUGAAAACAAUAUGUGCAUGUUAACCAGGCUGGCAACACAUGGCAUAGUAUCGAACGUGAAGGUGCAGGCAGUAUGAUCAUCGGUGCAAUAAGACCGAACUGUCGGUAUCAGGUAGCUUACCAAACUGGACCUUUUGAUAGCGGGAGUCAAAGUCAUGACUACCUAACAAAUCAAACACACCCACAAGUGUCAUGUGGUUGCACAGGACCGGUGAGCACGACAUGUGGCACUAUGACUCAAUCGUCCCGAUGGAAGGAAUACCCUUACCCAAUAUGGUUUCCCAAGGGCAUUUGUCCGCUGGCAAAUAAAAAUAGGAACAAGUCAUAGAUUAAGCAGGUAUACAUUUCGACAGAAAUCGUCGAGCUGCAAAAAGAGCGACACCCCAGGUUCGGAAGAUCAAUUGCACGCAGAACAAGGCUGACCAUGCCAUGACAGCUCUAGGGCAUGGACAGUAAAGGACGGCUUUGUUGGCUUGUAAAUGUCCAUCAGGAGUUAGCAUUAUCAUUAUGAACGAUUGUAACUCUAUGAAUGAUUAAGUAAUGAAAUGCUUUCCCCCACAAAAAAAAAUUAUCUCUUUUUUUAUGAAUGAAAAACAAUAAUAAUCUUAACUAGCUACAAGUACAACCAUAGGGAAUGGGAUCAUGCGUGUUACCUAGCUUGUUUAGGUGAGAGCAAAAUGUCAAUCAAAUCAAGCGUGGUUCAUAUGUAAACGCAAAAAGAAAAGUUCUUCUCCACACGUAGCCAAAGAAUCAAGAUCAUCGAUCUCUGACAGCAGCUUAUAAGUCGUAUCUGCAGCACAGUUGACGUUGAAUAAUAUUUUUAUUCGCAGUUGGUAGUACGUAUAUAUGCAGGGCUGCCGAGGCAAACAUCUUCUUCCCAAAUAUAGUACACCGUUGCCUUCAUGGUGAGCAGAGGCGGCUGUGCUCCACUCGCAGCCUGCGUCCUUCUCGUCUGCGCUGCCGCCACGGCCGUCUACACCAGCUUCCCGGCGUCCAUGAGCCCAUGUGACUCCUCUCUUGCGAGAGCGCUCCUCACCGUCUCCGGCCUGCGUCCGUACAUCGUCUCCACCGCCCCACAUGCACUUACCGGCGGCGGCAUGAAAAUCGGCGGGCCUUUGGCGACCAGCCUCCACACAUGCGGCAAGCCGAAGCUCCCGCCGCAUGCGCUGCCGCCCUUCUACUGCUGCCCGCCGGCGCCCGCAUCGGAACCGAUCAACUUCACCAUGCCGGACCCAGAGCUGGACAUGCAGAUCCACUACUCCUGGUUCUUCUUCCCGUUCCACCGCGCCUACCUCUAUUUCUUUGAGCGCAUCGCCGCCAGGCUGCUCGGCGAGCCUGACUUCGCUCUGCCGUUCUGGAGCUGGGACGUGCCGGAAGGGAUGCGGAUGCCGUCAAGUUCGCCACCUCAUCGUCACCGCUCUAUGAUCCCGUGCGGAACCCGAGGCACGCGCCGCCCAGGGGCGUGGACCUCGACUUCAUCGAUGUCGAGAGCAACUUGACCGACGAGCAGCAGAUCCAGCACAACCUUUCAGCCAUGUAUAAACAGGUGCAAUACCUACGUCUAGUGUACCUUCAUAUUUUGGGUGUGGUUAGGUCUUAGUCGACCGAGAUUUAACCAAGUUUCAGUCAAGUGACAUAAUAUAAAAAAAGUUAUAUAUUUUUGCACGGAUCUCAAUAUAACAUCUUACAGGUAUAGCAUCGAGUGAGACUUGGUUAAGUCGAUUGGUUGACUGAAACUUACGGAUUUAGCAGAUUGAGAUUUAGCAAGACAGUUUUAUUUUACACUUACUUACAAACAAUAUGAUUCAUUAACUGGUCGACUGAGACUUACCUUGCUACGUCUUUAUAUAUUUCAGAUGAUUGGCAAUGCAGCUUUGCCGUCACUGGGCAACCCUUCCGUGCUGGCCAGUCUGACCAGUCGGGCGGCGGGUCAGUGGAGCUCUCCGCACAUGACGCGCUGCACGCCUGGACAGGCGAUAUAAGAGCAACUCCAACGGGGCGACCCAAACGGACGCACGCUUUGUCUAUUUUUUGUCCGUUUGGAUCGGCCAGGCGAACAUGCGCGUUCGCAUUCUAAAAUGGGUCGGCUUGAUCGCCCAACGGGGAGGCCGACCCAAAUGUGUCGGCGUGGGAAAAAAAAUAAGUUGCACGAAAUAAACAUAAAUAAACAUAAGUGGCCGGUCAAACGCCGGCCAAAGUCCACCUAAAUCUAAUAAACAUUAAAAAAAAUUGCGCCCGCCUGCUGCCGCCCCGCACGCUGCCCUAGACGUCGUCGGCCUUGCCCUUGCCCUUUCCCUCCACGCCGCCAUCGUCGGUGAGGUCGAUGAAGACCGGAGCAGUGCCAGCCCACCUGAACGCCGCCUGGUACGCUGCCAGGGCAGCCUCCUCCGGCGUCUGCUGGGGCGGCGGCAUUGCGGCAAGCCGCGCGCGCUCCUCCUCCUCCCACUAGUAGAAAAAGGACUUAAUAUGAGAAACAUUAGUACCGGUUCGCAUAUGAGCCGGCACUAAUGCGCCCAUUAGUGCCGGUUCAAAUGACUUGGCAGGAGGUGACCUUUAGUACCGGUUUUUUGGGAAUCUUUAGUACCGGUUCGUUCCACGAACCGGUAGUAAAGAUGCUGGUGCCCGGCCAGCACCUUUAGUACCAGUUCGUGGCACGAACCGGUACUAAAGAGGUUGUGGCAGACGCUACUUUUAGUCCCACCUCGCUCCCCUAACAAGAAUUUGACUACGUUAAGUAUGUUACUUCUCAAACUAUCCCAAACAUUUGGUCUUCAUUGAACUCUAUGUGUAGGAUCUGUGGCUGCAUUAGGAGUCUUCGCCGGUUCUUAAAUCGAUGGUAGAUUCCUAUUGAAAAUUUAGAUUCUAUGCAAAAAGAUCGUUGAUGAUUAAUGUAUUUUUUAUAUGUACUUCUGUGUAGCAGUAGCGCGUUUUGGCUGAAAGGCGGUACUGAUCAAUGUAUUUUUUCUGCGUUUAGAUGCACUAUUUAAAUAUAUUAUUUUUCAAACUAUCCCAAGCAUUUGGUCUUCAUUGAACUCUAUAUAUAAAGAAGAGGAAGAAGAAGCAGAAGAAGAAGGAGAAGAAUACGAAGAAGAAGGAGAAGAAGGAGAAGAAGAGGAGGAGGAAGAAGGAGGAAGAAGAAGAAGAGGAAGAAGAAGGAGGAAGAAGAAGAAGAGGAAGAAGAAGAGGAAGUUGAAGAGGAAGAAGAAGAGGAAGAAGGAGAAGAAGAAGAAGAAGAGNNNNNNNNNNNNNNNNNNNNNNNNNNNNNNNNNNNNNNNNNNNNNNNNNNNNNNNNNNNNNNNNNNNNNNNNNNNNNNNNNNNNNNNNNNNNNNNNNNNNNNNNNNNNNNNNNNNNNNNNNNNNNNNNNNNNNNNNNNNNNNNNNNNNNNNNNNNNNNNNNNNNNNNNNNNNNNNNNNNNNNNNNNNNNNNNNNNNNNNNNNNNNNNNNNNNNNNNNNNNNNNNNNNNNNNNNNNNNNNNNNNNNNNGAAGAAGAGGAAGAGGAAGAAGAGGAAGGGGAAGAGGAGGAAAGAAUUAAUAGAAGGAGAAGAAGGAGAAUAAGAAGAAGAAGAAGAGGAAGAGGAAGAAGGAGAAGAAGAAGAGGAGGAAGAAGAAGAAGAAGAAGAGGAAGAAGAAGAAGAGGAAGAAGAAGAGGAAGAUGAAGAGGAAGAAGGAGAACAAGAAGAAGAAGAGGAAGAAGAAGAAGAGGAAGAGGAAGAAGAGGAAGAGGAGGAAAGAAGGCAACUGCAACCUGCAGGGCCCCGCCGGCGGCUGCAUCCGCAAGGUGGCCAACUUCAGCGGGGUGGAGGUGAGUCCAGCACAUUUUCUGUCCAGCCAAUGAAAUGUGGAGCUUGAUACAUUAUAUAUGCUCACAUACCGCAUUUGGUAAACUCUGCAGGAGCCCCAGCUGUCUUCUGCUUGCAAGUUUGACAUCCACCGCGAGCCGUUCUGCAUGUAGAACCCGCGCCCGGGUUCGUCGUCGUUCUGCACUCGACGAUUACCACCUACACGGCUAAUCAUCGACCGUAUCGAGAUAGCCGAUCAGUGGGAUAAAUAACUAUGACGCUUUCUGCUAGUAUGUGUGAUAGCCGAUCACCUCACCUGCCGCAAUGCCAUCCAGAAUGAGCAUAGCUCACACAAGGCUCUGGAGGACCUCCUUCCCUACUGUAUUGUACGUCUGUAUGUACGUACCUCAUUGUAAUAAGGUUGUGGUGGUGUUGUGUGUCGUCUCAUACGUACCCUUAUAAAUAAAUCAAGUUCUAUGCUGCUUCAUCUCCAAAAGAGACACGUAAAAGCAAUGCAAAUUGUGGCAAUUAUGUUAUCAAAUGGCGUCAACAAACCAAAGUGCGUGCGUGCGUGCGUGUUUUAUGAAACUGAAACCUAGGGAUCUAAGGCCCAACAGUCAUCUGUUGUUCAGAUCCCAAAUAGUUUCCUUUCACAUGAG